rnacentral:misc_RNA from 1 species
GCAUUUCUCUAUCGAGGACGCAGCCUCAUUGCCCACAUAGCAUAGUCGCAUCCACGCGUGGGCAUCUAUAUCCGCGCACGCGUCCGCAACACCAGCCACUCCUGCCUUUGCUGCUUUUCCAUUCUUCACUACCGUAGCCCUCUGCUGCUCGUUCAACACACCAUGGAGACCCCUCUCCACGCCACGCUGCACACCGAAGCGUGGGCUUCUUGCAGUAAAGAACCGCGAGCAGAGACGCUUCCGCGGCUGUACGCGAACAAGCAGAAUGUGCCCCGCGCCUCGAAGCGCGCCGCAUGGCUCGACUUCUUGUGCCGCGUCGACAUCCUCUGGUCCAUCCUCUUCUUCGCCCUCCUCGCCACUGUCGGCAUCUGCAGCGCCGUCGUCACACAGACAAUCGUCUCCGCUGCGGUGCUCGAAUCGUGGCGCACGCUGCACCACGUUCACGCGAACAUCAUCAGAAAGCGGCUGGAUCAGCAGAUAAGUGCCGUGUACAACAUGGCCGCCGACCUGAUCUUACUGCAGGCGCGCUACCCAUUUCAGAUGCAGUCCGAAGACACGCUCGCCACGCUCUGCUCCAUCCUCUCAGGGUACGACAAGGACAUGCUCCUCGCCGCAUUAUCUUUAGUCUCCCACGAGCUCCGAGAGACGAUCACCUGCAUGCACGGACUCACUGACGACGCGUUGACGGAUAUCCUCUUCGGGUAUGUAUCCUACAACCACACCGUCAACGCCACCAACUACGUCGACAAGGAUACCUAUCGCUUCCAGCGUCCGCUGCGCAUGGCGAUGGAGUGGCCACCUCAAGUGCGCAACAUCUCGAACUUUAUAGACGAGAAUAUGAAUGCCGUCCCCAUCUUUGCGCUCGUCAACGAGCUCGCGGCCGGCCGAAACCCCGACAUCGACAUCCGCAACGCGUGGCGUGUGAAUCCCAUUCUUCCGCACCUCAUGGAGCUCAGCGUACCCGUCGGCAUGGUGUACGGGAGCCCUACCAUGCCGGUGACCACCCCCAUCACCGACUACGCUCUCCUGCACAUCAACGGCUCGAGGCUUCUACGCGAGCCCGACGGCACGCACCACAUCGGUGCCCGCAUCGCACUCUUCGUUAACCAAACCCUCACCGACGCCGACCCCGCCAUCAUGUCUAACAACUGGGGCCAGCACUUUAUCAGCUCCGUCAUCCACACGCCGCUGGUCAACACCAGUGUUACCUACCUUAAGGCCAGCAAUGUCCGUGAUCCGCUCAUGCGCGCCGCACUCCAGCACGUCGACCUCGCACAGCUGCAGAGCGAGGCCAGCAGGAGUACUGUUGGCUUCCAGCACAACGGCGCACCCGCGAUGGUCACCGCGUGGACCUACACGACGUCCAAAGGCCUUUGUCUGCCUCUCGUCUACGCUAGCGUGCAGGAGAACAUCACCGUGCCGCAUACGCUCAUCCGCGAUAUGGGCAACGGCAUCAUGGUCGCCGCCGUGCUCAUCUUCACCCUCAUUUUCUGGCGUCUCAUCCACCGCACCAUCUCGCAGCCGCUCAACGGCGUGCAAGCGAGCAUGCUGGCCAGCGUCGAGCACGGCGACCGCCAACUCUAUUAUCUGAGAGACAGAAAGCUCGUCCGCUUCACGGAGGUCGAUGCACUCAUCAAGGCACACAACAAGACGAUGCAGCAGCUGCGCGAUGUCGACGCCUUCAUUCCGGAGGGGCUGCGACUGCGUGUCACGGACGGCUCUGCCCACCAAAGUGACGAUGUCCCUACGCGGCGCUUCUCAUGCUUAACCCAUAAUAGCAGGCCGCCGAAAUUGAAAGGCCCGCAGCUGUCCUUGCACCUCUCGACUGUCGUAUACCUCUCAAUGAGCGCUACAGCCUCUACCACCACCGACCCAUUCUCGUCGCUGCAGCGGCGAAGCCUCGCCGAAGAACAGGAGUCUGGCCAGAUUCGCGGUCAGCGACUCAUCGCGGCGGCCGAGCAAACGGCCCAAGCAGCGAACACCGCCAACAGCGGCCCCUUCCCCACACCAGCCGCACUGACAGCAUUCAUCACCGCCGUGCACGAGCUGUGCCACACGCACCACGGCACGCUGCAUCGCCUCUGCCCCGACGCGUGCGUGCUGCACUUCAACAGCGCGGUGCGCGCACACCUCCCGCGUGGGCCUGGAGACGCUAGCGCGGCGGCGGCACCAGCAGCGGCGCCCCCUGCACCCGCUGCGCGGCAUGGUGUCCCCGCUGCACAGUCGGCACCGCAGCCGAGGCCACCGCGUGCCACGCGGCAGGAAGAGAUGAGGCUCCGCGCCGCGCAGGACGCACGCAACGCCGCUGCCUUCGCACUGGACCUGGUGAACUGGACUGCCGCGCAGAGCGGCAGCGGCGAAAACGCACAAAGGGACGGCACGGCGGCCAUGCCUGACGUGCGCGCGCUGCUGGACACGAGCAUGUUCACGUGCGGGCAGUACCGCCCCGCCGGCAGCGAGCAGACGCUGCAGGUGGCGCUUGGCCGCGACGUGCAGCGCGAUCUGGGCCGCGUGCCGCAGCGCAUCGGCGUGCGCGUGGCCAUGACGGAGGAGACGGCGACGCUGCUGCGCGCGGAGGACGAUAGCGGCAGCCGGGGCCGCGGCAAUAUGGACGCCGGCGUGCGGCAGAUCCCGGUGGAUGUGCUGCGCACGGGCCGUGCGGGGCUGGACGGCGAUGUGGUGGUGCUGUACGAGGCUCUGCCCGGGCGCGUGGCCGGCGACGCGGCGUGGCAGCUGUACGCACGCUGCUGCUGCGGCGGCUUCGAGCACAUGCUGCGCGGCGACUACGCUGGCGCGCUGGCCGCCUACCGCGGCGUCGCCGAGAUCGCGGACCUGGAGCCCGGGCUGCUGCCGGCAGCCAUGCGUCGCGAGGCGGCUGCCAGCGCCGUGACGGGUGGUGCCGUGUCGGUGCAGGUGGCGCGGCUGAUGCGCGAGUGCGAGCGCCGCGUGCGACUGCGGAUCACGGAGCCGCUGUGCAAGGUGCGCCUCUGUCCGCUAGGAAUCGACGCAGUCCUGCGCGACUCGAAACCGCUGGGUAACGGAACUGAAGCACUGUACCCAGGUGUGCUUUCUCCGAAUAAAGAAGACGUCGGUGUACUUCGGAAGGUCCGCGUAAGGGAUGAGAAUGGCAGCGGCCUUUCACGGAUGUCGGCGCAUCGGUUUCCAAGGGUACGGGAACGCUAUGUUUUAGCAGUGAAGGACGGCGCCAGCACCUUUCGUUAUGUAGUGCCCUCGAUGCCUUCAUGGAUGCGCGACGAGCAUGGGCUGCACUGGCAUAUUGCACGUUGUCCAAUGAACGGCGAGUUGACCCCAGAGUUCAUGUGGCAUAGAAGGGUGUUGGCACUCGGCUCGGCUGGAGCACUGUGCUCCGUCAAUUACUUGAUAUAUCGUGAGGUGCAUCCCGUGGUAGCCAAGGUUGUCAGAAAUGCACCACCGGGUCCUAUGUCGGACGCACUGCGCAGCGCCACCCCCGUCUGCGGGCCCUCCUCACGCCAAGCGGCUGCGGUGCGGCGGUUGAUCAAGAAGCACCAGCAGCUGCGCCAUCCAAACCUCCUCUCCUUCCUCGGCUUCUCCGAGUCACUUGAGGGCGGCGUCAUGCCCCUAUGGGAGUUCAGUCCUGGCGGUACGCUGCGUGAGCUCAUCUUCCGCUAUCCAAAUGUGAAGCCGGUGACCAUCAACCGCUUUGGUCUUCAAAUUCUCACCGCUCUGUCGUAUUUGCACGAGCGGGGAGUAGCGCACGGCAGCGUGCGCCUCGACAACGUGCUCGUAAGUGCGGAUGGGAAGUGCCGCUUAACUGGGCACUCAGGCGACAAUGAAGCGGCACGCGAGCUCUUCCACAUACAUCAAACGUGCUUCAUAAGCCCCUUGAUGGCCACUGGCGCGCUGCCAACUCCACAGUGCGACAUGUUUUGCAUUGGUCUUGGGGCUCUCGAGGCACUGACAAAGCAGCCGGCGUGGAAGUGGGCCACUGGCGAUGACGGCCAGCCACUCGGGACUGCGGCAGAGCUCGCGGAGCUGAUGAGGGCUGGCGGGGCGACCUUCAGCAGUGCGCUGAUGCAGGGCCGUGUUGUGGUGAAUGCGGAUCCACUGAGAGGGGCAAGCGUGGUCGGCAAAUACAGUAACCGUGCCGUUGAGUCCCUCAUCCGUUGCCUCUCACUGGACCCUGCCGAGCGCCCGACUGCGAUGCAGGUUCGGGAGGCGAGCAAGGAAAUGCUGCUGCAGGCCGGGCUCACGUUGGAGGAAGACGAAUUGGCGGCCUCUUUUCCGCUGAUGGUGCGUAAUUGACAUUGUGGGGGAUGACGUAGUGGGCAAAACAUGCUGCCCGAUAGCCGAGCGGAGAAUGACACUGGAACAGCUCGCAAAGGCUUUUUUUUCUAUCUACACGACCUCCACGUCACGUGACCUACGUUCGGAGUGGUGUUGUCUUGAAAGGCGACAGGCCUCCGCGGGUAGGCCUUGGAUGAAGGGCCCCUUGAGUGCCACGCAUGCAUGCCCGCUUUUUCAGUAAAUACCAUAACGUUCUUGAUUGUUUUCUCGUGCUUCUCGCUUUUGUAACUGGCCCCCCAGUCGCAUCGACGAGGCUCACUGGAUCGCUGUGCACAAGAAGAGAGAUGCACAUGCGGCCGCAGGAAGGAAAGGGGGAAAGGGGGCGCUGGCUGUAUCUCGACUGCAUCUCUAAAUUUCUGUUUCCUGUGUACGUUUCUGUUCGUUUUACGGUUCUCCAGAUUUGGCCGACGUGCAGCCCGCAAGUAGUGUGCCUGGGCAAGCCUCUUCCUUCCCCUUCUCCUUCGUCUCUUUCCUUCGUUUUCUUUGUUAUUAUUUCCUCUGUCAUUUCUCCGCAGCCCUUUGGACGUUGGUGUCCCUCUUGGCCAGGCGCGUACGUUUUCUUGCCUCAUGAAGCUCUCUCUCUAUCUCCAUCCAUCUCCAUCUCUCUCUCGAGGCGUCAUUGGAAACACUCUUUUCGGGGGUUGGGGUCCUGCGCUCACUUCUGCGUUUUUCCUUAUUAUUCUCGGCACGGAUCCUUUUCGCCCCAUAAGGCGUCUUUUAUUCGUUUGGCUCGUUGUGUGUGUGUGUGUGUAGAAGUAUACCUAUACGCAUGUAGAUGUCUAUGUGUGGGCGUAUGUGCCCGUGGGUCUGUGUUUUGUGUCUUGCCUUGCCUAUGCGCGCAUGCACAUCCCACCUCUCUCUCUCUGUAUUCCUUUUUCUUUUGGAGCCACUGCACACACACACGCACACAAGCCCAUACCUCCCCCUCUUCUUUCCGUUCCACGUGCUCAGUGUGUCCCCACACGCCCACCUACCCUUCUUUUUUUAUAUCUUCUCCCGCGUUGCUGCUCCACCAUUUCCACGCAUUUGCCGCGCCGCCCGGUGCUGUUAGGCCCAUGCCAUCUUCCAUGCCUCUCUUUUCGCGCACACACGCCGGAGCACUGCUGCGCACCAAAAGAGGAGUACACGGCCAAGGAAGCUACCCUCUCUCACGUGCCCGCCAUCGGUUUCUGUGCCCACCUUCCACGAAAACAAUGAGACCAAAAGCAUACAACGCUCCUUCUUCUAUUUCCCUUUUUACGUCCCUUGUGAGACCGACAGAU